CCUACGGGUGGCAGCAGUGAGGAAUAUUGGUCAAUGGGCGUAAGCCUGAACCAGCCAAGUCGCGUGAGGGAUGAAGGUUCAAUGGAUCGUAAACCUCUUUUAUAAGGGAAUAAAGUGUGGGACGUGUCCCGUUUUGUAUGUACCUUAUGAAUAAGGAUCGGCUAACUCCGUGCCAGCAGCCGCGGUAAUACGGAGGAUCCGAGCGUUAUCCGGAUUUAUUGGGUUUAAAGGGUGCGUAGGCGGCCUUUUAAGUCAGCGGUGAAAGUCUGUGGCUCAACCAUAGAAUUGCCGUUGAAACUGGAAGUCUUGAGUGUGUGUGAGGUAGGCGGAAUGCGUGGUGUAGCGGUGAAAUGCAUAGAUAUCACGCAGAACUCCGAUUGCGAAGGCAGCUUACUAGGCCAUAACUGACACUGAAGCACGAAAGCGUGGGGAUCAAACAGGAUUAGAUACCCGAGUAGUC
rnacentral:rRNA from 1 species